GCUCCGGUAGUAUAGCCCGGUCAACGUUGUUCGGCCGAGAGUAUGCGGGCCUCUCAAGCCCGCGGCCCGGGUUCAAAUCCCGGCCGGAGCA
rnacentral:tRNA from 1 species